UUAAGCGACUAAGCGUACACGGUGGAUGCCCUGGCAGUCAGAGGCGAUGAAGGACGUGCUAAUCUGCGAUAAGCGUCGGUAAGGUGAUAUGAACCGUUAUAACCGGCGAUUUCCGAAUGGGGAAACCCAGUGUGUUUCGACACACUAUCAUUAACUGAAUCCAUAGGUUAAUGAGGCGAACCGGGGGAACUGAAACAUCUAAGUACCCCGAGGAAAAGAAAUCAACCGAGAUUCCCCCAGUAGCGGCGAGCGAACGGGGAGCAGCCCAGAGCCUGAAUCAGUAUGUGUGUUAGUGGAAGCGUCUGGAAAGGCGCGCGAUACAGGGUGACAGCCCCGUACACAAAAAUGCACAUGCUGUGAGCUCGAUGAGUAGGGCGGGACACGUGGUAUCCUGUCUGAAUAUGGGGGGACCAUCCUCCAAGGCUAAAUACUCCUGACUGACCGAUAGUGAACCAGUACCGUGAGGGAAAGGCGAAAAGAACCCCGGCGAGGGGAGUGAAAAAGAACCUGAAACCGUGUACGUACAAGCAGUGGGAGCACGCUUAGGCGUGUGACUGCGUACCUUUUGUAUAAUGGGUCAGCGACUUAUAUUCUGUAGCAAGGUUAACCGAAUAGGGGAGCCGAAGGGAAACCGAGUCUUAACUGGGCGUUAAGUUGCAGGGUAUAGACCCGAAACCCGGUGAUCUAGCCAUGGGCAGGUUGAAGGUUGGGUAACACUAACUGGAGGACCGAACCGACUAAUGUUGAAAAAUUAGCGGAUGACUUGUGGCUGGGGGUGAAAGGCCAAUCAAACCGGGAGAUAGCUGGUUCUCCCCGAAAGCUAUUUAGGUAGCGCCUCGUGAAUUCAUCUCCGGGGGUAGAGCACUGUUUCGGCAAGGGGGUCAUCCCGACUUACCAACCCGAUGCAAACUGCGAAUACCGGAGAAUGUUAUCACGGGAGACACACGGCGGGUGCUAACGUCCGUCGUGAAGAGGGAAACAACCCAGACCGCCAGCUAAGGUCCCAAAGUCAUGGUUAAGUGGGAAACGAUGUGGGAAGGCCCAGACAGCCAGGAUGUUGGCUUAGAAGCAGCCAUCAUUUAAAGAAAGCGUAAUAGCUCACUGGUCGAGUCGGCCUGCGCGGAAGAUGUAACGGGGCUAAACCAUGCACCGAAGCUGCGGCAGCGACGCUGAUGCGUUGUUGGGUAGGGGAGCGUUCUGUAAGCCUGUGAAGGUGUGCUGUGAGGCAUGCUGGAGGUAUCAGAAGUGCGAAUGCUGACAUAAGUAACGAUAAAGCGGGUGAAAAGCCCGCUCGCCGGAAGACCAAGGGUUCCUGUCCAACGUUAAUCGGGGCAGGGUGAGUCGACCCCUAAGGCGAGGCCGAAAGGCGUAGUCGAUGGGAAACAGGUUAAUAUUCCUGUACUUGGUGUUACUGCGAAGGGGGGACGGAGAAGGCUAUGUUGGCCGGGCGACGGUUGUCCCGGUUUAAGCGUGUAGGCUGGUUUUCCAGGCAAAUCCGGAAAACUAAGGCUGAGGCGUGAUGACGAGGCACUACGGUGCUGAAGCAACAAAUGCCCUGCUUCCAGGAAAAGCCUCUAAGCAUCAGGUAACAUCAAAUCGUACCCCAAACCGACACAGGUGGUCAGGUAGAGAAUACCAAGGCGCUUGAGAGAACUCGGGUGAAGGAACUAGGCAAAAUGGUGCCGUAACUUCGGGAGAAGGCACGCUGAUAUGUAGGUGAAGUCCCUCGCGGAUGGAGCUGAAAUCAGUCGAAGAUACCAGCUGGCUGCAACUGUUUAUUAAAAACACAGCACUGUGCAAACACGAAAGUGGACGUAUACGGUGUGACGCCUGCCCGGUGCCGGAAGGUUAAUUGAUGGGGUCAGCGCAAGCGAAGCUCUUGAUCGAAGCCCCGGUAAACGGCGGCCGUAACUAUAACGGUCCUAAGGUAGCGAAAUUCCUUGUCGGGUAAGUUCCGACCUGCACGAAUGGCGUAAUGAUGGCCAGGCUGUCUCCACCCGAGACUCAGUGAAAUUGAACUCGCUGUGAAGAUGCAGUGUACCCGCGGCAAGACGGAAAGACCCCGUGAACCUUUACUAUAGCUUGACACUGAACAUUGAGCCUUGAUGUGUAGGAUAGGUGGGAGGCUUUGAAGUGUGGACGCCAGUCUGCAUGGAGCCGACCUUGAAAUACCACCCUUUAAUGUUUGAUGUUCUAACGUUGACCCGUAAUCCGGGUUGCGGACAGUGUCUGGUGGGUAGUUUGACUGGGGCGGUCUCCUCCUAAAGAGUAACGGAGGAGCACGAAGGUUGGCUAAUCCUGGUCGGACAUCAGGAGGUUAGUGCAAUGGCAUAAGCCAGCUUGACUGCGAGCGUGACGGCGCGAGCAGGUGCGAAAGCAGGUCAUAGUGAUCCGGUGGUUCUGAAUGGAAGGGCCAUCGCUCAACGGAUAAAAGGUACUCCGGGGAUAACAGGCUGAUACCGCCCAAGAGUUCAUAUCGACGGCGGUGUUUGGCACCUCGAUGUCGGCUCAUCACAUCCUGGGGCUGAAGUAGGUCCCAAGGGUAUGGCUGUUCGCCAUUUAAAGUGGUACGCGAGCUGGGUUUAGAACGUCGUGAGACAGUUCGGUCCCUAUCUGCCGUGGGCGCUGGAGAACUGAGGGGGGCUGCUCCUAGUACGAGAGGACCGGAGUGGACGCAUCACUGGUGUUCGGGUUGUCAUGCCAAUGGCACUGCCCGGUAGCUAAAUGCGGAAGAGAUAAGUGCUGAAAGCAUCUAAGCACGAAACUUGCCCCGAGAUGAGUUCUCCCUGACUCCUUGAGAGUCCUGAAGGAACGUUGAAGACGACGACGUUGAUAGGCCGGAUGUGUAAGCGCAGCGAUGCGUUGAGCUAACCGGUACUAAUGAACCGUGAGGCUUAACCUU
rnacentral:rRNA from 1 species